rnacentral:lncRNA from 1 species
UCUAACCUUAGCAACACUUCCCCUAGUUUUUUGCAUUGUCGCAGAGUCCAAGUAUAGAGCCUUACCGAUAGGGGACAGUAGAGGGGUCAGAAUGUCCAUAUAGUGACAAUGCCAAGGGAGUUCCGGCAGUGUAAUCCAAAUGGGAACUAUAGGAGUUUCCUCAGCCGGUUUGAAAGUAGGAGUCCACAUUUGUAGUUUCAUCGAUUGACCUGCAAUAUACAUCUUUUGCUUUGUCCACACAGAAAUAUGAUCAGCUUCAUNNNNN